AUGAGAGCGUCGAUGGGGAGAUCGCCGUCCUCGUCCGUGCUCUUCUUGGUGUGGGCUGCUGCUGCCCUGCUGCUGAAUGCUGCUCUCACGGUGCAGUCGGUUCCUUACGACUACUCGUCGAGCUCCGAGUGCUUGGCUGAGCCGCUGGAGGCUCACUACGGCGGCGGCGUGAUCGUGAACUCGGACUUCAGCGCCGGCCUCCAGGGCUGGUCGGCCUUCGGGUACGGCAGCGUCACGGAGGGCGCGUCGCCGACGGGGAACAAGUACGCCGUGGCGGCGAACCGGACGCGGCCGUACCAGAGCGUCAGCCAGAAGGUGUACCUGCAGAACGACACGCACUACACCCUCUCAGCUUGGUUGCAGGUUAGCGACCGGAGCGCCGACGUGAUAGCCGUCGUGAAGACCGCCGACAACUUCAUCCACGCCGGCGGGGUCGACGCCAAGUCCGGCUGCUGGUCCAUCCUCAAAGGCGGUCUCACCCCCGCCGCCUCCGGCCCGGCUGAACUCUACUUCGAGAGCAACUCGACGGUGGCCAUCUGGGUGGACAACGUGUCGCUGCAGCCCUUCUCCAAGGAGGAGUGGAGCUCCCACCGGCACGCGGCCGUGAAGAAGGCCCGGAAGAGGACGGUGCGGCUGCGCGCCAGGGACGCGGCCGGCAACCCGGUGCCGGGCGCGCGGGUGCACGUCCGGCAGGUCCGGAGCGCCUUCCCGCUGGGGUCAGCGAUGAGCCACGAGAUCAUCACCAACGUGAAGUACCAGGAGUGGUUCGCCAAGCGGUUCACGGUGACCACCUUCGAGAACGAGAUGAAGUGGUACAGCACGGAGUGGACGCAGGGGCACGAGGACUACACCGUGCCCGACGCGAUGCUCCGGUUCGCGCACAGCCACGGCAUCGCCGUGCGCGGGCACAACGUCUUCUGGGACGACCCCAACACGCAGCUGGGGUGGGUGAAGGCGCUGAGCGGCGACCAGCUCCGCGCGGCCACCGCCAACCGGAUGAGGUCGGUCAUGUCGCGGUACGCCGGCAAGGUGAUCGCGUGGGACGUGGUGAACGAGAACCUGCACUUCGACUUCUUCGAGGAGAAGUUCGGGGCCGGCGCGUCGGCGGCCUUCUACCAGAAGGCGCACGGCAUGGACGGCAGCGCGCUCAUGUCCAUGAACGACUUCAACACGCUGGAGCAGCCCGGGGACCAGAGCGGCCUCCCCAGCAAGUACCUCAACAAGCUGUCGCAGAUCAAGGACGCGUUCCCCGGCAACGGCAUCGGCGUCCGGAUGGCCAUCGGCCUCGAGGGCCACUUCGGCGCCAACCCCAGCAUCCCCUACGUCCGGGCGGCGCUGGACACCCUGUCGCAGGCCGGCGUGCCCAUCUGGCUCACGGAGAUCGACGUGAAGCCGGGGCCGGACCAGGCGUACCACCUGGAGCAGGUGCUCAGGGAGGUGUACUCGCACCCGGCCGUGCACGGCAUCGUGCUCUGGACGGCGUGGCACCCGCAGGGCUGCUACGUCAUGUGCCUCACCGACGACAACUUCAACAACCUCCCCGUCGGCGACACGGUUGACAAGCUCAUCGCGGAGUGGAAGACGAGCUCGCACGUCGGCGUGGCGGACGCCGACGGCCACUACGAGGCGGAGCUCUUCCACGGGGACUACCAGGUCACCGUCACCCACCCGGCGGCGGCGGCCAACUCCACCGUCGUGCAGAGCCUCAGAGUUGACAGGGAGUCGGACAACGAGUACACCAUACACGUGUAG
rnacentral:rRNA from 1 species